GAUGAACGCUGGCGGCGUGCCUAAUACAUGCAAGUCGAGCGAACAGACGAGGAGCUUGCUCCUUUGACGUUAGCGGCGGACGGGUCAGUAACACGUGGGUAACCUCCCUAUAAGACUGGGAUAAAUUCGGGAAACCGGAGCUAAUAUCGGAUCAUAUUUCGAACCGCAUGGUUCGAUAGUGAAAGAUGGCUUUGCUAUCACUUAUAGAUGGACCUGCGCCGUAUUAGCUAGUUGGAACGGUAACGGCUUACCAAGCCAACGAUACGUAGCCGACCUGAGAGGGUGAUCGGCCACACUGGAACGGAGACACGGUCCAGACUCCUACGGGAGGCAGCAGUAGGGAAUCUUCCGCAAUGGGCGAAAGCCUGACGGAGCAACGCCGCGUGAGUGAUGAAGGUCUUCGGAUCGUAAAACUCUGUUAUUAGGGAAGAACAAACGUGUAAGUAACUGUGCACGUCUUGACGGUACCUAAUCAGAAAGCCACGGCUAACUACGUG
rnacentral:rRNA from 1 species